rnacentral:rRNA from 1 species
GACGAACGCUGGCGGCGUGCCUAAUACAUGCCAGUAGAACGCACAGUUUAUACCGUAGCUUGCUACACCAUAGACUGUGAGUUGCGAACGGGUGAGUAACGCGUAGGUAACCUGCCUGGUAGCGGGGGAUAACUAUUGGAAACGAUAGCUAAUACCGCAUAAUAUUGAUUAUUGCAUGAUAAUUGAUUGAAAGAUGCUAUUGCAUCACUACCAGAUGGACCUGCGUUGUAUUAGCUAGUAGGUGAGGUAACGGCUCACCUAGGCGACGAUACAUAGCCGACCUGAGAGGGUGAUCGGCCACACUGGGACUGAGACACGGCCCAGACUACUACGGGAGGCAGCAGGAGGGAAUCUUCGGCAAGGGACGAAAGUCUGACCGAGCAACGCCGCGUGAGGGAAGAAGGGUUUCGGAUCGUAAAGCUCGGUUGUAAGAGAAGAACGGGUGUGAGAGUGGAAAGUUCACACUGUGACGGUAUCUUACCAGAAAGGGACGGCUAACUACGUG